GACGAACGCUGGCGGCGCGCCUAACACAUGCAAGUCGAACGGAGAUGCGAGAAGCUUGCUUUUCGUAGCUUAGUGGCGAACGGGUGAGUAACGCGCGAGUAACCUGCCCUGGAUAGGUGGACAACAGUUGGAAACGACUGCUAAUACCGCAUAAGCCCACGAUCCGGCAUCGGAUUGAGGGAAACGGAUUUAUUCGCGUCAGGGUGGACUCGCGUCCAAUUAGCUAUAUGGUGCGGUAACGGCACAGCAAGGCGACGAUUGGGAGCCGGGCUGAGAAGCUGCCCCGCUACGUUUGGGCUGAGACACGGACCAGACUCCGACGGGAGGGAGCAGUGGGUGAUAUUGCACAAUGGGGGAUGCCCUGAUGACGCGGCGUCGCGUGGAGGAAGAAGGUUUUCGUAUUGUAAUCUCCUCACGUUAGGGACGAUAAUGACGGUACCUAAAAAGAAAGCACCGGCUAACUACGUG
rnacentral:rRNA from 1 species